UACGUAGGUGGCGAGCGUUAUCCGGAUUUACUGGGUGUAAAGGGCGCGUAGGCGGGAAUGCAAGUCAGAUGUGAAAUCUAUGGGCUUAACCCAUAAACUGCAUUUGAAACUGCAUUUCUUGAGUGUCGGAGAGGUAGACGGAAUUCCUAGUGUAGCGGUGAAAUGCGUAGAUAUUAGGAGGAACACCAGUGGCGAAGGCGGUCUACUGGACGAUAACUGACGCUGAGGCGCGAAAGCGUGGGGAGCAA
rnacentral:rRNA from 1 species